rnacentral:rRNA from 1 species
AGUCGAGCGAGCGGAACCACAGAUUUACUUCGGUAAUGACGUUGGGAAAGCGAGCGGCGGAUGGGUGAGUAACACGUGGGGAACCUGCCCCUAAGUCUGGGAUACCAUUUGGAAACAGGUGCUAAUACCGGAUAAUAAAGCAGAUCGCAUGAUCAGCUUUUGAAAGGCGGCGUAAGCUGUCGCUAAGGGAUGGCCCCGCGGUGCAUUAGCUAGUUGGUAAGGUAACGGCUUACCAAGGCGACGAUGCAUAGCCGAGUUGAGAGACUGAUCGGCCACAUUGGGACUGAGACACGGCCCAAACUCCUACGGGAGGCAGCAGUAGGGAAUCUUCCACAAUGGACGCAAGUCUGAUGGAGCAACGCCGCGUGAGUGAAGAAGGUUUUCGGAUCGUAAAGCUCUGUUGUUGGUGAAGAAGGAUAGAGGUAGUAACUGGCCUUUAUUUGACGGUAAUCAACCAGAAAGUCACGGCUAACUACGUGCCAGCAGCCGCGGUAAUACGUAGGUGGCAAGCGUUGUCCGGAUUUAUUGGGCGUAAAGCGAGCGCAGGCGGAAAAAUAAGUCUAAUGUGAAAGCCCUCGGCUUAACCGAGGAACUGCAUCGGAAACUGUUUUUCUUGAGUGCAGAAGAGGAGAGUGGAACUCCAUGUGUAGCGGUGGAAUGCGUAGAUAUAUGGAAGAACACCAGUGGCGAAGGCGGCUCUCUGGUCUGCAACUGACGCUGAGGCUCGAAAGCAUGGGUAGCGAACAGGAUUAGAUACCCUGGUAGUCCAUGCCGUAAACGAUGAGUGCUAAGUGUUGGGAGGUUUCCGCCUCUC